UACGUAGGGGGCUAGCGUUGUCCGGAAUCAUUGGGCGUAAAGAGCGUGUAGGCGGUCCGGUAAGUCCGCUGUGAAAGUCGGGGGCUCAACCCUCGAAUGCCGGUGGAUACUGUCGGGCUUGAGUACGGAAGAGGCGAGUGGAAUUCCUGGUGUAGCGGUGAAAUGCGCAGAUAUCAGGAGGAACACCGGUGGCGAAGGCGACACGCUGGGCCAUACCUGACGCUAAAGCGCGACAGCAUGGGGAGCAAACGGG
rnacentral:rRNA from 1 species